GACGAACGCUGGCGGCGUGCUUAACACAUGCAAGUCGAACGGAAAGGCCCUGCUUGUUUGUGGUUCUCGAGUGGCGAACGGGUGAGUUACCCGGGAGUAACCUGCCCUUUGCUUGGUGAUGACUUCAAGAGACUGCUGCUAAUACCUGAUUCGUGCGCGUGCUGGAUGGUGGGGUUUGGACAGCUUGGUCUGUUGGGGGUCGACUGCGGGCUAGUCAGCUGGUUGGGUGGGUAGUGGCUAACCGAGGGUUUGGCGGGUGGCCGGCAUGGGAGGGUGAACGGGCACCAUGGGACUGAGAGAGGGAGCAGACGCCAACGGGAGGCAGUAGUGGGGAAUAUUGCACAAUGGGCGGAAGCCUGAUGCAGAAGCGCCGCGUGCGGGAUGAAGGCCUUCGGGUUGUAAACCGCUUUAGGCUGUGACGAAGCGUGAGUGACGGUAAUGGGUAAAGAAGCACCGGCUAACUACGUG
rnacentral:rRNA from 1 species